rnacentral:rRNA from 1 species
GUGGGGAAUAUUGGACAAUGGGCGAAAGCCUGAUCCAGCCAUGCCGCGUGUGUGAAGAAGGUCUUCGGAUUGUAAAGCACUUUAAGUUGGGAGGAAGGGCAGUAAGUUAAUACCUUGCUGUUUUGACGUUACCGACAGAAUAAGCACCGGCUAACUUCGUGCCAGCAGCCGCGGUAAUACGAAGGGUGCAAGCGUUAAUCGGAAUUACUGGGCGUAAAGCGCGCGUAGGUGGUUUUGUAAGUUGGAGGUGAAAUCACCGGGCUCAACCUGGGAACUGCCUCCAAAACUGCAUGACUAGAGUACGGUAGAGGGUAGUGGAAUUUCCUGUGUAGCGGUGAAAUGCGUAGAUAUAGGAAGGAACACCAGUGGCGAAGGCGACUACCUGGACUGAUACUGACACUGAGGUGCGAAAGCGUGGGGAGCAAACAGGAUUAGAAACCCGAGUAGUCC